CACGUAGGGGGCAAGCGUUGUUCGGAAUUACUGGGCGUAAAGGGCAUGUAGGCGGUUUUGUAAACCUGGCGUGAAAUUCUGCAGCUUAAGUGUAGGACCGCGCAGGGAUCUGCGAGACUGGAGUCAAGGAGAGGGAGCCAGAAUUCCAGGUGUAGGGGUGAAAUCUGUAGAUAUCUGGAAGAAUACCAAUGGCGAAGGCAGGCUUCUGGCCGAUGACUGACGCUGAGGUGCGAAAGCGUGGGUAGCAAACAGG
rnacentral:rRNA from 1 species